CACUCCGUCGCCCCCGCCCUUCUUCGCAGGGCGCACCCACCACGGCUGCGCCCCGCGUCCGGCUCCCUCCCCACCCCCGGCUCCCGCGCCUGGAUUAAACCGCUCAGACUCCUCUGUCCCCAGAAGUGGCUGCCUGGAGAUUGGGACAGAUCGGAUGGUGGCUCUGCGGACAGGAAGAGAACCAGCCAGGAUGUGUGCAGGGCAGAGAGGAGCAGUAGCUCUCAUCAAAGGUAUUGAUUUCUGCCUGGAGCAGGCAGGAAGUGGAACACAGCAGCCUGAGAAAGAUACAGAAGCAGCUGCUCACCCAGAGGGAUUUGUGGCAGGAAUCUAUUGUUGGCCUCUAAUAAGAACAACAAUAAUAUUAUCAUGGCCAAUAAUAACAGUAACUGCUAACACAUGAUGCUAGGUGCAUCAUCAUCUAAUUUUCCCACAACACUGCAAGGUAGGUUCUACUAACUCGUUUUCAGAGGUUAAGAUACAGAGGGAUAGAGGGGUAAGAGAACGUGCUCAUGGUCACCCACUAGCAAAUGACAUGUGCUAGACUUCAACUUAGGUUCAUUUGACUCCUGGCUUUAAAUUCUCAUUUAAAUCACUUAUUUUGGUCAGAAGAUAAAGGCAAAGGAAUUACCCUCAGAAGGUUGAUAAAAACUGAGUAAAUUUCUACGUGCCUGGUA
rnacentral:lncRNA from 1 species